rnacentral:piRNA from 1 species
UGGCUACCCCUGUCUUCUGCAUAGGGCUGA